AACGAAAUCCUUGUACAUAGCAACAACAAAUGGGCCAGCAAUAACACAAUCAGCUGAUCGGCCAAGUGUUGGAAAGCGCGGCCAUGUUUGAAUGCAACUGACAACAACAGAUCCGCCCCCUCGGCUUUAAUCAACUUACAUUUGCCAUCAUCCAGCGGUUGCACAGCUACGCACAUUGUUAUUGAUAAGAACGAGGCGAACAGCCCCACCAAAAUUGAUACUCUUUCCACCAGACGACAGAUCCCCACCAACGUCGAACGGCAAAAGGCG